UACGUAGGGUGCGAGCGUUGUCCGGAAUUACUGGGCGUAAAGAGCUCGUAGGUGGUUUGUCGCGUUGUUCGUGAAAACUCACAGCUCAACUGUGGGCGUGCGGGCGAUACGGGCAGACUGGAGUACUGCAGGGGAGACUGGAAUUCCUGGUGUAGCGGUGGAAUGCGCAGAUAUCAGGAGGAACACCGAUGGCGAAGGCAGGUCUCUGGGCCGCGAACUGACGCUGAGGAGCGAAAGCAUGGGGAGCGAACAGG
rnacentral:rRNA from 1 species